rnacentral:rRNA from 1 species
CCCUUAGAUGUUCUGGGCCGCACGCGCGCUACACUGAUGCAUUCAACAAGCCUAGCCUUGACCGAGAGGUCCGGGUAAUCUUUGAAACUGCAUCGUGAUGGGGCUAGAUUAUUGCAAUUAUUAAUCUUCAACGAGGAAUGCCUAGUAAGCGUGAUUCAUCAAAUCGCGUUGAUUACGUCCCUGCCCUUUGUACACACCGCCCGUCGCUCCUACCGAUUGAAUGUGUUGGUGAGGAGCUCGGAUUGGCAGCAGUUGGUGUUUCGCCACCGGCUAUUGCUGAGAAGUCCUCCAAACCGCCCCAUUUAGAGGAAGGAGAAGUCGUAACA